UCAAACUUGGUCAUUUAGAGGAAGUAAAAGUCGUAACAAGGUUUCCGUAGGUGAACCUGCGGAAGGAUCAUUAACGAGAUUUGCCAUUUUUGGCAUAUUUUCAUUUCAAACACCUGUGAAUUUUUAAAAUUUUGCUUUGGCUGAGUAACAUUGGCCAAAAGUUUUUUAUAAACACAUUUAUUUUUGAACUUUAGAAUUCUGAACUGAAAAGAUUUAAAAUUAAUUAAAACUUUCAACAACGGAUCUCUUGGUUCUCGCAUCGAUGAAGAACGCAGC
rnacentral:misc_RNA from 1 species